GAGGACGCAGGCGAUCUCCGGUCGGACAUCAACUCGUUGCGCUGCCAGGUCCUGAAGGGAGCAUGUCGGCAAGAGCAGCACCGCGCUCUCGUCCGAGGUCUCGCGGCUGAGCUCGGAUCUCCCGGGUUCUCG
rnacentral:SRP_RNA from 1 species